UAAUUUUAUUCAGCUGUUUUUUGAACCCAUGCCCUUGGCGGGAGGAGAUCAGGCUCGUGAGCAGGACCCAGACUUGCUUCUUGUUACAGGAUUCUGAAGUGUACCUCACAAAUUCAUUAACUCAUACUUUUUUCAGGAUUUUCCAAGCUUUCCCAGUUAUUUAAAUUUAUUAGGUCACAGGCUUUUUUGGUGAAGGCUGAAAAAGGCAGUGGCUGUUGCAGGUUUUUCUCUGUCAUCUGUUCUUCUCUGAUACUCCCGACUACAUCAGGAACCUUUCGCUGCAGAGUCAGAUCUGCUGUUUUGCAUUAGGAGCUGAUGAAUGUAAAGCUGAGAUUUUCCAUGAGAAUCUGGAAGAGAAGCUGAAAUCACUUCAGUGAAAAGUGAGCCAGCUCGAUGGCAAUUGGAGUAGUCCAGAAUAAUCCGUGGAGGUCUUGGAUGUUCAAACUCCUUCUGGGACAACCUUGCCUAACAUCAGCAACCCAGCUUUACACCACCUGCUGUGUCACACAGGUCUCUGGCCCUUAGCCUGUUUGCAGUCAUAGAGCUGCAACAUCAGUGGAGUCUUUCAGUCAGUCGAAGGCAUUCAGCUGUCUCAGCAAGAGGGCACUGACAAACAGGGGCUGGACAGGAAUGAAAGCUGCCCCUUUGAAAUGGAAACAAUAAGCACUGUGCCUCACCCGUGCCCUCCACAGACCAGUGAAAGGAGCAUCCCUGGGUUUUGCUGGCGCCUGCCUUCCCCGCUGCCCGUGCCUGCGCCCCAGCCCAGGCUGCGGCAGUGGUAGAGGAAUGGGAAGGGAUCCAGAUUUUCCUUACAUCACUUGAAGAUCUGGAGCUGUGCUUCUGCCCAGGGCCCUCAGUUUCCAUGACCUGCACUGAAGCUUUUGGCCCCAACUUCAACUUGGAUGUGGAUGGUGUAACAGCAUCCCCCUGCACAGUCCUGUCCUGCCUGGGACAGCACACAUCCAUGCUCUCUAAUGAAAAGUCUGAUUCAGAAAACUUCAACAAGCUUUGGAAACACCAUAAUUGGUUUUAUUUGAAUAUGUUGAUUAUCAAAUACCAAGGUAAAAAUGGUGACAAGGAUGAAGUGGGCUCUUUUUAAAUGUAACUAGCUUUUCAAAUUAAGCAAUAAAAAUGACAGACCAUAUAUUAAGUCUGUUUAAUGUAAAUAUGGGUGGGUAGCUAGCUGCAAACCAGGCAUUAAACUGGUUUUUGAAUAAUGAAAAAUCCAGUCACAGUCAUUAACUUGCUCCAGAUCAAUUUUCUCCAAAGAAAAUGCAUAGAAAAUAUAACUAAACAGUGGUCUGGGUCACAUGUGCGAAGCCAGACCAAAGGGCAAUCAGAGACACAGCACUGUUUUCAAACAGCAAAUUGACUUUUUUUCUUCCCCAGCAAAUACUCUAACUCCUACCCUUGCUAUUCUUUCCUCCCCCCCCUGCUUUUCCCCAUCUAGCUCCUGCACUCUAGUAAAUUGUUUCUUUAUUCUUUUGCUUAAAAGCGUACCCUGGCACACUAUUGUCUGUGGAUCAAUAUGUGCACUCAAACUGGGAGUCAUAUGCAAAAAAAUGAGUAUAAUGGAAAAACUGAUACAGAUUAGUAGGAGAAUAGUUAAUGAAAGCUUUUUACUUUUUAUAUUAAGAAUAGACAUAUAAAACAAAAAACCUCAAUAUCAGAAAAAAAAAUCUUGAAAAUACAAGGUUUUCUUUUAGAAGCAGAUUGCUUUAAGGUGAAAAUGAUUGUAAAGUGAUGUCUGUGGCGGAUGAGAGUAUGCCUGUGUAACCAUUGUAUGUGAUAUAUAAUCAUUAUCUUGUUCAGGGACAAAAGUCACAUUUAGUAAAUGUUCUGCUUAUGACAAACCCACACAAUGUCUGUAAAUUUGUAAUUAGGAUGCAAACCUCUAGUAUCUAUUUACAAUAAGAUCUGGUCUUGAAUUACGAUUAGAUGUGACACUCAGUAUUAAAUGUCAAUUCUCUGAAAACCUUGUUUUGUGGUUCUCUCACAUAC